rnacentral:rRNA from 1 species
UGGUUGAUCCUGCCAGCUGUUCAUACGCUCCUUGAGCUCAAAGAUUAAGCCAUGCAAGUGGUUAUAUUAACCCGACAGUUUAAAUAAGUGUUAAAUGCUACUAAAAUACACGCAUUAUUUUGUUUACAGUAGUAACAAUUUCAAGCGUGAAUCAUAUCCUAAGUGAUUCAUACUCGAUAUAUUUCAUCAUAUCAGUAUCACUUACGCAACUGCAGACAGCUGCUUAAUACAGUCACACUUGUCUUGACUUGGCGCUAUAAAAAUAUUUAUUAAUAAUAUUUUUAUUAAAAUUUUAUGCUAAUUACACGCAUUAAAAUUACUGAUUUCUCUGUAACGAUUAUUCAUUAAGAUUAUACUUCGUUACACAAUGAAUUGCCUUUUUGGAUAACUCAGGGAAAGUUUGGCUAAUACGUACGAGUUAAUUUUAUUACACACACUUUAUACAACCUCAUACACACUACUCAGCACAUAUUGGUAAAUUUUGAUACAUUCAAUGUAUCAGUUCAAAAUUUAACUGCAACAUGAGAGACAAUAUGCACGCAAGUAAGAUUGCUUCGGCAAUUCUUACAUUACGCUGAGCAGACUUUGCGAAGUUUACUUUGCGAAGCAUGUCAUACAAGCAUCUUCAGCAUCAAGUCACAGGGUUGGCAAGUGUAUUUUUGAACCUCAAAGCAGUCACGCAUACGGAAGAGUAGUUUCUGAUCCCAUAGAAGGAGCACCGUGCAUUGAGAGACCGCUCUUAGUUCUAAGGAACGCAGCAGGCGCGUAAAUUGCCCAAUGCUAGUACCCUACAANACUAUUAUGCAUUAAAUUAUUACAAUUUACAAUUAUUAAAAUUAUAUUAAAAWUUUAGCUAUCAUAAUUAUAACACCUCUAANUUUCUCUGUUNAAAWUUUUANCCNUGUUUAUUGUUUACUCAUUUAUAUAAUAUUAUUUUAUUUAGUGAGGCAGUGACAAGCUGUAACGGUUGAGUAUAAAAAUGACGAGUGUCUGGCAUUGCCGUCUGCUUCGGUAGGCUUGGCAGUUCGCCGACGCUUUGUGUGCUCAAUUGGAAUGCGGUGAGUUUAAGUAACUCAGAACCUUUGUAUGGUGUUUGUAAAAUUUCACUAUACAUGUAUCUGAAUUUCAAGUGGAGGGCAAGUCUGGUGCCAGCAGCCGCGGUAAUACCAGCUCCACUGGCCUAUACAAUCAUUGUUGCGGUUAAGAGGCUCGUAGUUGGAUUGAACUGCUAAUAUUAAUUUAUAAAAAUUAAAUUUCGGUUUAAUAUUUAUUUAUCAUAUAUAUUUAUAGCAAGUUUUACGCAUAUAGCAUAAAAUAUCUAUUUUUUAUGUCUCGCGUUCGACACUGUUAAAUAUUUACUACACACACCGUUUAUAUAUAAAUAAUACACCAAAAAUGAAAUUUAUUUUUCAAAAUUUUUUUCAACACUGUGAACAAAUCAGAGUGUAUCAAACAUGUCGUUUUUGAAUGUGCAUUGAAUGUCUUAUCAUGGAAUGUUGCAUUCGUUACUAUUAAAAUUUACUGUAUAAUAUUUUUCCUAACACACAAUUGUCAAAUAUUGAUAUGCAGAGACAUGUAUAUAUAUAAAUGCUGUAAGUUUUAACGGUUAUUAAAAUGUCGAUGGGGAUAGUUGGAGUCAAGAGUACUGCUGGGCGAGAGGUGAAAUUCAUUGACCCUAGCAAGACUACCAAAAGCGAAAGCACUUGGCUAGGCUAUACUCUUUGUGAUUAGUAUAUAAACUGCAUAUUAUUUUUUUUAACACACAUUAAUAAAAUAACAACAUAUGCUCUAUUUACUAUACACUUUACAAUGAAGAACGAAGGUUGGGGGAUCAAAGAGGAUCAGAUACCCUCGUCGUCCCAUUAAUUACAUCAAACGAUGGGCUCUCAAUUGCAUUUAUUUAUUAAAUUGUAAAUGCCCUCAGCCUACAAAUUAAACUGGCUUGAGCUCGUAAUUUAAUUAUUACGCUCGCCUAAUCGAUUUUAGUACGGUCUCGAUGGACGUUUCAUUUAAACUUUUUUUUGCGUGUAAGCAAUUUUUGUUAUUCUUUGAAAUAUAAGAAUUAACAUUGCGUGCACUUGAUUUUCGGAGCUUUGCGCUCAAUUCUGGCGAGAUGUAAGCACUAUCUCUUUCUGUCCGUACCUUUUAUUUUCGAAUAAUUAAGUUGUACGUGUACAGUUGAGAAUAUUUUUUGGUGUGAAGCACGCUUUAGGCACGCGCUUACUGCAGAAAUGUCUGAGACAUCUCCGGGGUAGUAUGCACGCAAGUGUGAAACUUGAAGGAAUUGACGGAAGGGCACCACAAGAACGCGUGGAGCAUGUGGCUUAAUUUGACUCAACGCGGGAAAUCUUACCGGGUCCGGACACACUGAGGAUUGACAGGCAAUAUUAAUGCUAAUCAUAAUGCACAUUUGUGUAUUAUUGAUUUAGUAUUAUGUUGAAUAUGCUAGUCCUUUCAUGAUUAUGUGAUAGGUGGUGCAUGGCCGUUCUUAGUUCGUGGAGUGAUCUGUCUGCUUAAUUGCGUUUCACUAAGGGCUUAUAAAUUACGUGUGUUGCAUGUACUUUGACCCCUAAUCUGAAAUAUGGUUGGUGCGUGUCUUAGUUUACUUUGCUCGCACAAUUAAGUCCUGAAAGCAACGAACGUGACCGCAACCUCUUGUUGCCUUUAGAUUUAACACUGUUUAGUCAUAUUUAUUAUGCAUCUAUCAGUAAAAAAAGGCUUUUAAACUAGAGGGACCGCUGUAAUCUUUUUAAACCAGAGGAAGGUUGCGGCAAUAACAGGUCUGUGAUGCCCUUAGAUGUUCCGGGCUGCACACGUGCUACAAUGAUUAUUGCAGUGAGCAUCUCAUUUUAUUACACACAGCCUGCGCGUGUCCAAUUAUAUACAAUUUAUGUUGUAUUAAUAAUUGUGUGCAUUGCGCGCUGUAAAGCCUGCUUCGAAAGUAAGUGGGUAAUCAAUUAGAAGUAAUGAUUUCCUUUAUUAAUUUAUUAGUGCACAAUUAUAUACGGCAUCUUUACCCGGCUUAAGCUUGCCUUAAGUUUUGUGCGUAUCGAUGUUUUUUCCGUAUGUGCAAUUGUCAAUUCAUGGUGGGGACAGACCAUUGUUAAGUGUUGGUCUCGGUCUUAACUAGGAAUGCCUUGUACGGGUCUUUGGUUCAACAAACCACCCGGAAUACGUCCCUGCCCUUUGUACACACCGCCCGUCGCUCUUACCGAUGGACUUCUCUGUGAGUUUGAGGGACUGGAUAUUGUAAUUUCGGUUACUACCAUCUAUGGAAACUUAAACGAACAGUGUGGUCUAAAGGAAAGAGAAGUCGUAACAAGGCAUCGGUAGGUGAACCU